rnacentral:misc_RNA from 1 species
ACACCUCACCCCCUCGGGUUUCCGAUCGGGUGGAUUUGGGUGCUGCCAGUUACAUGGCUCGCCUUAAAAGCAUUAGCGGUUGUUGACGUAAUAAGUUUCGUCUUGUCGACCGCUCCUAAUCUCCUUCGGGAUGUCUCUAGGGACACUUCAUG